UACGUAGGGUGCAAGCGUUAAUCGGAAUUACUGGGCGUAAAGCGUGCGCAGGCGGUUCGGAAAGAGAGGUGUGAAAUCCCAGGGCUUAACCUUGGAACUGCACUUCUAACUACCGGGCUAGAGUACGUCAGAGGGGGGUAGAAUUCCACGUGUAGCAGUGAAAUGCAUUGAGAUCGGAAAGAACACCAACGGCGAAAGCACUCUGCUGGGCCGACACUGACACUGAGAGACGAAAGCUAGGGGAGCAAAUGGG
rnacentral:rRNA from 1 species